AAAAACUAGCUGGGCAUGUUGGCGCACGCCUGUAGUCCCAGCUACUCGGGAGGCUGAGGGAGGAGAGUCACUUUAACUCGGGAGAUGGAGAUUGAAAUGAGCUAAGAUCACAACACUACGACUCCAGCCUAGGCAACAGAGUGAGAGACUGUCUCAAAAAAA